rnacentral:rRNA from 1 species
AUUGAACGCUGGCGGCAGGCCUAACACAUGCAAGUCGAGCGGAUGAAGGGAGCUUGCUCCAGGAUUCAGCGGCGGACGGGUGAGUAAUGCCUAGGAAUCUGCCUGGUAGUGGGGGAUAACGUCCGGAAACGGGCGCUAAUACCGCAUACGUCCUGAGGGAGAAAGUGGGGGAUCUUCGGACCUCACGCUAUCAGAUGAGCCUAGGUCGGAUUAGCUAGUUGGUGGGGUAAAGGCCUACCAAGGCGACGAUCCGUAACUGGUCUGAGAGGAUGAUCAGUCACACUGGAACUGAGACACGGUCCAGACUCCUACGGGAGGCAGCAGUGGGGAAUAUUGGACAAUGGGCGAAAGCCUGAUCCAGCCAUGCCGCGUGUGUGAAGAAGGUCUUCGGAUUGUAAAGCACUUUAAGUUGGGAGGAAGGGCAGUAAGUUAAUACCUUGCUGUUUUGACGUUACCAACAGAAUAAGCACCGGCUAACCUCGUG